UACGUAGGGGCCGAGCGUUGUCCGGAGUUACUGGGCGUAAAGCGCGCGCAGGCGGCCCCUCGCGCCCGCCGUGAAAGCCCCCGGCUCAACCGGGGAGGGUCGGCGGGGACGGGGGGGCUUGAGGCCGGCAGGGGGCGGUGGAAUCCCCGGUGUAGUGGUGAAAUGCGUAGAGAUCGGGGGGAACACCCGUGGCGAAGGCGGCCGCCUGGGCCGGGCCUGACGCUGAGGCGCGAAGGCGUGGGGAGCGAACGGGAUUAGAAACCCCUGUAGUCC
rnacentral:rRNA from 1 species